UUUGCAUCUAAUAUGACAGAAAAUGAGAUAAAUGACUGCGUUCCAAUAUUCAUUGCCAAACAUUGCCAGCCUUCACAAACUAUAGAGAAAGGAGAACAUGUUUUGAACCUUUUAGAAAA